GGUUCUUUGGUGUAGUGGUUAGCACUCUAGACUCUGAAUCCAGUCGUAUGAGUUCAAAUCUCAGUAGAGCCU
rnacentral:tRNA from 1 species